CACUUAUCCAUAUCAGGCAUUAGGACUAAGUGUUUAACAUGCAUUAUUAUUUCCAUUUUACAGUUGAAGAAAACCGCUGCGAAGUUUAAUCUGAGUCCAUCCGAUUCCAAAGGUUCUACGCAACUGCGUUAAGACGAGCACCGGUUUAGAAACUUCAAAUUCUAGGCUCAGCCACAUACUAGCUUUAAAAGGCUCACCGGAGGCCUUCGGCCACGCAAACAGACUGCUGCAAAGUACCUCCGACCACAGCAGCUGGGACCCUGAUGCUUCCUGAGUUCUAACUUCCCGCCAGGGUGUUGGGACCCUGCAGCUGCCCAACUUCUAACUCAGGGCCGGGCGGUUGGUUAAGACCCAGCGCCAGCGGAAGAGAUGGCGCGGGUUCUAGCCUCCACCAAGCUACCGAGUGAACAGAACCCUGAGCCUCCCGCUUCCAGUCCUUCGGCCCGGCGCAUGCACUCACCAUGGCUGCGGUUCCGCAGGCUCGCUACUCCUCAAGGAGCGCAGCCGAGGUGAGGGAGAGUUCGCUCGGCACGGGCAAAGAGCCACACAGAAGAAGGAGCGGAAAUGACGGCCCUGCGCGGCAGGAAGCGGAAGUGACGUCAUGUGAGUGGGCGGACCUCGCCACCUAGGGGCCACUGAAGAAGCAGCAGCGGCAGUCGGCCUGGGAACGUUAUUUUGCUGUCCUUACUAGUUUUCUACUAUAAAUUGUUGGCAGAAACAAUAAAUUACAUUUUAAAAGUAA